rnacentral:piRNA from 1 species
UGCCUAGGACCCAGAGUGUAAUAAGACACUGU